CUGGGCCGCCUCUCCCACAGCACCUCCCCGAGGGCCAGGCUGGCUCAUUUGACGACACUGCCAGAAAGAGGCACAGGAGCCCAUCUGUGGACACGCGUGGUGAUUUUUCUUCAUCGUGUCAUCCUUGGAGAGAAUCUGAGAAGCGGAGCAUUCCUUCAUUCCCUCGCCCAGCAGAUUGGAGAUGUCGCCACUGACAGAUGUCACCCUGACAGCAGCACAAUCCAUGGGGGUAUCAGAGAGCAGCUCUCAGAGCACCUGGACUAUCUCAUGGGCCAACUCUGGAGAUCUCUAGCCAACAGAUUCACACCCAGCCCGCUGGCCAUCCCCAGCCUUCCACUCCCAGACUCCCUGGCUCCACAAGGAAUCCUUGGUCCUGGAGAGCUUCACCAGAACGUGGAGAUCCUGGCUCUAAUAUCCUACCCAAUAUUUCAGUCGAGCCUUGUGGAAAAUAGCAGGAAAAUUAGAGGGGUAUAAGGAUCAUAUUCUUGACCUUAAAAAUUCUCCAAUCUCUCAUAUAUUGCUGGUGGAAGUAUAAAAUUGGUACAACCUGUAAAACUUUUUGAGAAAUCUACUAAAGGUAAACAUAAGUCUACUUAGCAAUGCCACUUCUUGUAUAUAAAUAAUAGAAAUCAGUGCUUCUGCUCACCACAGGGCAGGCACGAAAAUGUUCAUUGUCGUUCUAUUCAUAAUAGAUCCAAGCGGGAAAUAACCCAAAUGUGCAUCAAUAGGAAAAUGGAUAAGUGAGCUGAUUAUGUAUAUAUACAAUUAAUAUAUAUAAUUUUAUAUAUUUGUUUUAUAUUAUUUAUAUUAUGUUACAUAUAUGACAUAUACAUAUGUGUGUGUAUAUAUAUAUAAAAAACAUUUGCUAUAUGGCAUUGCAUAUGCUGUACAGCAAUUAAAAAGAGUAAACUGCUACAUUUAGCAUCAAGCAUGAACCUCACAGACAUUCUGUUGAGCAAAAGAAGCCAGACACAAAAGAGUACUUACCACAUGAUUCCAUUUCUGUGAAGGUCAAGAACAGGCAAGGUAAAAUAUAGCAGCAACCUCUUCCCCGGGGGAAGAGUGUUUUCUGGGAGAGUGCAUGAGAAAGCUCCGGGGUGCUGGAAAUGCUAUGUUUAUCCAAGUUGAGGUUUUACAAGUGUAUAUGUAUAUUACAUAUGUAAAAAUUCAUCUGGCUGUACACUCAAGACUUGUAAACUUUAGUAUAUAAGUUACAUCCACCACCUACCCUCCUCAAAAAAAAAAAAAAAAAAAAAAAAAAACCCNCCCCCCCCCCCCCCCAAAAAAAAAAAAAAAAAAAAAAAAAAACCCUCCAAAAAGAAGGCAACCAAAAUACUAGAUGACAUUGUAUUGGUUGGUUUUGUUCUUUGUUUCUGACUAAUUUCACCGCUGAGAAAAAUCCUCUGGCUGGCACAAGUCUCACUUAAGUCCACCUCGUUAUAAAUGAAUAUUAAUUCACCUGGCCAGGUAGAGAGUAAGUCCGAGAUGGCUUCCUGUGAGCGUGUGUGCAUGUGUGUGCACGGAUGAGUGUGUGUGCGCGCACACGUGUGUGGGUUGUAUUAUAUUCAGUAGGAUGAUGAAUCCCCAGGGGGCAGGGAUCGUAUGUGUCACAUUCCCCUUCACACUGUACCACCCACAGAGAUUGAGUUCGACAAAAUUUAUUGUGUGCCUACUAUGUGCCAUCCUCUAUUCUGGGGCCUGCGGAGAUAGCAAUAAAAUAGACAAAAGUCUCA
ensembl:lncRNA